UACGGAGGAUGCAAGCGUUAUCCGGAUUCAUUGGGUUUAAAGGGUGCGCAGGCGGGCUUGUAAGUCAGUGGUGAAAUAUUGUCGCUUAACGAUAAGGUUGCCAUUGAUACUGCAGGUCUUGAGUUUGGUUGAGGUAGGCGGAAUGUGCAGUGUAGCGGUGAAAUGCUUAGAGAUUGCACAGAACACCGAUUGCGAAGGCAGCUUACUAAACCAAAACUGACGCUGAGGCACGAAAGCGUGGGAAGCGAACAGGAUUAGAUACCCUGGUAGUCCACGCCGUAAACGAUGUUCACUCGCUGUUUGCGAUAUACAGCAAGCGGCUUAGCGAAAGCAUUAAGUGAACCACCUGGGGAGUACGAUCGCAAGGUUGAAACCCAAAGGAACUGACGGGGGCCCGCACAAGCGGAGGAACAUGUGGUUUAAUUCGAUGAUACGCGAGGAACCUUACCUGGGCUUAAGUGUAGAGUGCAUGCGGUGGAAACACCCUUCCCUUCGGGGCUCUCUGCAAGGUGCUGCAUGGUUGUCGUCAGCUCGUGCCGUGAGGUGUCGGGUUAAGUCCCAUAACGAGCGCAACCCCUACCGUUAGUUGCCAACAGGUCAAGCUGGGGACUCUAGCGGGACUGCCACCGUAAGGUGAGAGGAAGGUGGGGAUGACGUCAAA
rnacentral:rRNA from 1 species